rnacentral:lncRNA from 1 species
GGGAAUCGGAGAAGCACAGUUGGGAAUCGGCCAAACGGUGCUACAGUGUGAGAUCGGCCAGUGACUUCUGUCUUGCUUCGGGUCGAACAUACCAGAGUCCCAAUCGGUAAUCUUUUGCCGAUGAGGAAUCGGCCGAUUAGGAGGAUGGACUAAUUGGGCCUGUAUGGGCUUAGAAGGGAAUAGAAGGACGAGGUGGAAAUCAGCCCACGAAGCGUGAAGUAACCAACCUAGCACGAAUCGUGCUUGUAGAUAUUCGUUUUCUAUUUGAAUUAGGGAUAGAAUUCUAGUCGGUUAAGAAGAUAUCUGUACGGGGCUAUAAAUAGCUGCCUUUGUAAAUCUGUAAUCAUCAACCAAUCAAUACAACAAGCUACUUUUUCUUCGUACUUACUUUCAAGCAGGCGACUUCGCCAUUACUUUUCUCUUCUCACGAGUUCGUGCGGGUUGGCAGGGCUGCAUCAUCUUGAUCUCCGACCGAUUCUGUAAGUUCCGUUUAUCGAGUAAUAUCUAAGCUUUAACUUCGGGCGUAUCGCUGUUGUUUCGUUUAGAUUUAUUCACUAGUUAUCGAUAUUUGCUAGAUCCAUAGGUUUUACCUGUUUUUCUAGUCUUUAUCACCAGUUAUCCAACUAGGAAUCGGUAGUGUCGGCUUCUUUACUUUCUGUUAUUAAAUUCAUCUAUUGCCGAUUAGAUCUGUUCCCAGUGUUGUUAUCAUAGCUUUGUAUCGAGUACUUUAGUAAUUCCCUGUCUACAAGGCUACAGAGAUCAGGCUGUCUUAUAGCCGAUUUCAUCACUACAGUAAAUCGGCCGAUUCGCUGAUAAAUUCUCUCGAGAUCGGAAACUUAGCCGAUCGUGAUUUCUGGACCUGAUACGUAUUCUUCUUUGCCAAUCAACAGGUCAGAUUGGCUGGCACACCGCGCGAACUGCACCAGGGCAUUCACCCGAACAGGAGCUAAGCGGAUUCUCCUGGGUCGUGUGUCGGUCGCUGGGAUUCGGUUGACCGAUUUCUAGCGCCAACACACUUUUGGCAUGCCCGGUGGGACCAAUACAACCGCCAUCAUGUCGAAAGCUGCUGAAGUCUCCGAAGAUAACGUCAUCGAGGUGACGGAAGCAGAUCUGAAGGACGACCAGAAGGAAGAGCUGGACAAGUAUACGGCACAGUUCCGGAAAGCUUGCCUGAAGUCUUUCAGUCGCUCCAGAAGCGGGGAGACCAUCAAAAAGACUCCAUUCCCUGCUCCCCGCCAGAUCACGAUUUCUGAGGAUUCGGAUAAAAUGUCCGAUAUGAUUCAACAGUCUAUUCAUCACGCCUUCAUUGAUCAAUCCCCGGUACUUUCCAACAUGGUGCACAACGCUGUUGUCAACUCCUUCGCUGGCGGGAUACCUCAAGGGUACAGGGGACCGGCAUAUUUUCAGCCGAUUCCACCAAAUCAGACUUAUUCAAAUUCGGCUUCGCAGCCGAUCCAAUUUUCUGUCGGGGGAUCAGGUGCUUCCUCAUCAUCAGCUCCUAUGGGAUAUGGUUCCAUCCAACUGUCCUUUGUGCCAUUCCCUCCAGUCAGCCCAAUUAACCCAUCACCCUGGGGGGCACCUUCAGUCACGGCCGGUCAGAAUCAAUCGGCCAGUCAAUUGAACCCUCCAUUCCAGACAUCCUUCCAGGCUGCUAUCCGGCCAACCGUGCCGCCAUACCAGCCUGUCGCUCCGGAGGUCAACAAGACAGCAGAGAUCAUGCUGUAUGAUGAAACGAGUGGCUCAUUCAAACAGCCAGCCUUUGCUACACAGCCGGCUUACACUCAGAUACCACCCUUCAAUCAGCCUCCGUUUAUUCAGCCUCCGAUUUACCAGCAUUUGCCGGUACCUCAACCAACAGUUCACCAGCAACAGCCAGAUUGGUCGGCACAUAUUGCGGAGGUGAUGCAAGAACAAUUCGGCUUGAAGCCGAAAGUGCAAACUUAUACCUACAGAACACCAUACCCGUCUACAUAUGACCUAUUGCCGUUCCCCCAUCGGUAUAAAGUUCCUGAUUUCACUAAAUUUUCGGGGAUGGAUGAUACUUCGACCGUAGAGCAUGUGAAUAGAUUCAUCAUCCAAUGCGGAGAAGCAGCUACGCAAGACGCCCUACGGGUAUGGUUGUUCUCGUCAUCUCUGUCUGGUUCGGCCUUUCAAUGGUUCACGACAUUGCCGCCAAACUCAAUUAUCACAUGGGCCGAUUUAGAAAGACAGUUCCACAAAUACUUCUAUGCCGGGGUGCAUGAGAUGAAGCUGUCCGAUUUGACCAGCCUCAGGCAAAGGAGUGAUGAGCCGAUAUCCUCGUAUAUACAGAGGUUUCGGGAAAUCAGAAACAAGUGCUACUCCCUGGCUCUAACCGAUGCGCAGUUGGCCGAUAUAGCUUUUCAAGGCCUUCUGCCCCACAUCAAAGAAAGAUACGCUUCACAAGAGUUCGAAAGUCUGAGCCAGAUUGUUCACCGAUUGUCUGGACAGGAGGUACGUCCUUUCGAUCCGCGGAGGAAUUUCCAAAAGAAAGUGGCGUUCCUGGAAGAGUUAGAGGAUGAGGAAGAUGUUGAAGUCGGACUUGCGUAGUGGAUCAAAGGGAAGAAGCCGAUAUCAUGCCCAUUCGGCAAAAAGGAUCCGGAAGUGUUCGGUUUUGACACAACUAAGGCCGAUAAAAUCUUCGACCUUCUCCUCCAGGAAGGGCAGAUUAAACUCUCGCCGUACCAUACAAUACCUUCUGCCGAACAACUAAAAAAGAUGAAGUAUUGCAAGUGGCACAAUGCCACAUCCCAUGAUACCAACGAGUGCAAAAUCUUCAGGCAGCAGAUACAGUCGGCCAUUGAGCAAGGCAGACUUAAAUUUGAAGUGCCGGCAAAAUCGGCCAAGCCAAUGAAGAUUGACCAACAACCCUUUCCUACCAACAUGGUUGAUACGGGGAAGAAUUCACUCCAAACAAAAGUGCUGACAUCCGAAUCGGCCAAAAAGAGUGGAGCCAUCGAUCCCAGAAAUCAAGCUACGCCUGAAGAUGUCAAGGGGAAGCGGCGGAUAGAGGACGACGAUGGUGAGUCAGAAGGGCCACGCAUUACUUCCCAGUUCCUGCUCCAAAAGUACCAACGUCAGCAUGAACGCUCAAGGUCCCGAGAAGAAGCAAUGCGUCGGCACGAGGAGCACUAGAGAUGCCCGUUCUUCGUUCAUUGUUGGGAAAAUAACCUCAGGCUACCUUCGGCCGAUACUUGCCCAGAAUGCAACGGUCCUUAUCGUGGCAAUCGGCCGUUCAACAGGUCUCGCUCCAGAGACGGAAGGCCAGAACCGAUCAGCAGGAAUUGGCGCAACCAAGAUGACCAGCGCCCUCCUGUGCGUGAUCGGCUGGGGGGCAGAAGUGACCGAUAUGAUCGGUCGGAAGAUAGACGCCAUGAUAGGCAGGGGGGCAGGACUGAUCGACAUGACCAGUCAGACAACAAAGCCAGCGUUCACAGCCGGCUCGAAGAGAUGGCCGAUGCUCGGGUGACGGAUGAAAACCCGUUAGGACGCGGACCGGAGUGGGAACGCGCCAGGUCAGAGGGAAGACCAAUCAACCCCAGGUGGUGUCCUGAUGGAUUGACCAAGUCUCAAAAACGAAGAAUCCAACGUCUCCGCCAAUGGGAACAGCAAGAAGAAGAAAGCGCGACGGAUAAGAAGGAAGGAAGGCCUCGGGUGUGACGCCCCAAAAGAAACGAUAAAGGGAACGAUGAAUCGGCGGGUGACGAAUCGGCAGCCGAGAUCGGCAUGGUUUUUAUAUUGCCGAUGGAAUUCAUGACUCCCGCCGAUCAACAUGAUGUAUCGGCAAUAGAAGAACAAACAGCACAGUUGGCUUUGGAGCCAAUGAUGGCUACGUUCGAGAAGCCCGAAGAUGACGAACGACAACAUAUGAAGGCAUUGUUCCUUAAAGGGCAUGUUGACGGUCGCCCCCUUACUAGAUUGAUGGUAGACGGAGGAGCUGCUGUCAACAUCAUGCCGUACGCCGUACUCCGGAAGCUUGGGAAAAGCGAUGACGACCUGACCAAGACGGACAUGAUGCUCAAGGACUUCGAGGGCAAGGUGUCAAACGCUCGCGGUGCUCUCUGCGUCGACCUCACCAUCGGCAGUAAGACCCUUCCUACCACCUUCUUUAUUAUUAAUGGAAAGGGAUCCUACAAUAUGCUACUUGGUUGAGACUGGAUACACGCAAAUUGCUGCAUCCCGUCAACAAUGCAUCAGUGCCUCGUACAAUGGGUCGGCGAUAACAUCGAGGUGGUCAAAGCCGACUCCGCAUACAGCAUUGCGUCAGCUGACACGCAACAGUGGAGCUGCGAAACCGUCAGGUGCAUAUCAGGUAGAGUAUGGGAGACCGAUUUCCUGAAGGUCACCGAUUUUGUCCUACAGCCGAUCCGAGCAGUCGGCUCCGAAGAUUCAGAAUAGAUGGAUCAGUUCGCCCGAGAAGAUGGGAAGCUAGGGCAUGGGUUCACGUCGGCCGAUUCAUUGGAAAUGAUAGAUUUAGGCGAUGGUACCAAACCAAGGCCGACUUAUAUUAGUGCAAAUUUAGAUCCAGAGUACAAGUGUAAAUUGACAACUUUAUUAAAGGAAUUUAAGGAUUGUUUUGCUUGGGAGUAUCACGAGAUGCCCGGCUUAGACCGAUCCAUUGUUGAACAUCGGCUACCCAUAAAACCAGGGUACCGGCCGUACCAACAACCCGCACGGCGCUGCAAUCCUAAAAUUCUACCAGACAUAAAAGCUGAAAUAACUCGGCUAAUCGAAGCAAAAUUUAUUCGGCAAUGUCGUUAUGCCGAGUGGAUUUCUAACAUCGUACCAGUAUACAAGAAAAAUGGGAAGCUACGCGUUUGCGUUGAUUUUAGGAAUCUUAAUCAGGCCACACCGAUGGAUGGUUACCCCAUGCCAACGGCCGACGUACUGAUCGACGCUGCCGCGGGGCAUAAAAUCAUUAGCUUCAUGGACGGAAACGCCGGAUACAAUCAAAUACUUAUGGCCGAAGAGGAUAUACCCAAAACGGCCUUCAGAUGUCCAGGCCACCUUGGUUUGUUCGAGUGGGUGGUGAUGACUUUCGGCUUGAAGAACGCUGGCGCUACAUAUCAGAGAGCUAUGAAUUACAUAUUUCACAAACUCAUUGGCCUUCUGGUAGAAAUCUACAUCGAUGAUGUCGUGGUCAAGUCUAAAGGUCACGAAGAACAUCUGGCCGAUUUGCGAAAAGUGCUAGAGUGUACCAAAAAACACGGUCUUAAGAUGAAUCCCAACAAAUGUGCUUUCGGCGUAUCCGCCGGACAGUUCUUAGGAUUCAUGGUACACGAACGAGGCAUAGAGAUCAAUCGGAAGACCAUAGCGGCCAUCAACAAAGUCGUGGCCCCACAGAACAAAACCGAACUGCAGUCUCUAAUCGGCAAGGUGAAUUUCAUCAGAAGAUUUAUAUCUAAUCUAUCUGGACGGAUUCAGGCGUUCACGCCACUUCUGAAGCUAAAGCCGGACCAGGAAUUUAUAUGGGGAGAAGAGCAGCGCAAAGCAUUGGAAGAUAUCAAGCAAUACUUGGUCUCACCACCAGUGUUGGUUCCCCCUCAAACUGGUAAGCCGUUUAAACUAUACUUAUCAGCCGAUGAAAAAGCUAUUGGAUCGGCUCUAGUCCAGGAGUUUGAAGGCAAGGAGCGGGUAAUUUAUUAUGUCAGUAGAAGACUUCUGGAUGCUGAAACAAGAUAUCCUCCGGUGGAGCGUUUGUGCCUGUCUUUACUUCUCAUGCACCAAACUCAGGCACUAUCUACUGUCAGCAGAAUGUGUAGUCGUAUGCAAAGACAACGUAGUAAAAUACAUGCUAUCACUGCCGAUAUUGAAAGGUCGAAUCGGCAAAUGGAUCUUAGCUUUAUCAGAGUUUGACCUGCGAUAUGAAUCGGCAAAAGCCGUCAAGGGUCAAGUCAUGGCCGAUUUUGUCGCCCAGCACUGCGGACCGGAGAUUGCCCUCGUAGAGCUGGCACCUUGGAAAUUAUAUUUCGACGGGUCAUCAUGUGGGGUCGGAUCAGGAAUCGGCAUCGUUCUCAUAUCGCCUCGGGGGGCAAGCUAUGAUUUUUCUCUGCCCAUAGAAACCGCCGCUACUAACAAUCAAGCGGAGUACCGAGCUGUAUUAAAAGGCUUACAACUAUUGAGAGAAGUCAAGGCCGAUUCCGUUGAAGUCUUCGGAGAUUCUAUGCUUAUUGUGGAUCAACUAACCGGAAGGUCUGAAUGCAAAGAUGACGUAUUAAGAAUUUAUUACGAAGAUUGCUUACAGCUCUUGAAAGAGUUCCGAUCGGCAGUAAUCGAGCACAUCCCAAGAAACCGCAACGAAGACGCCAACAAACUCGCCCAGCAUGCAUCUGGGUAUCGGCCAAUUCUAGACACUAUGGCUCUAGAACUCACGGCCGAUGACUGGCGUAAAGAAAUUGCCGACUACCUGAAGGAUCCGUCUAAAAAGGUGGAGCGACGAGUACGUUUUCAUGCCACCAAAUACGUACUGCUCGAAGAUGACCUAUUCUACCGAACGAUCGACGGAGUCCUUCUCAAAUGCCUUGGGACAGAAGAGGCCAAAACUCUAAUGGGAGAAAUCCAUGAAGGGGUAUGUGGAGCACACCAAUCGGCACAUAAGACGAAGUAGAUGAUCAGGAAUAAUGGGUACUAUUGGCCGACGAUCCUCAAAGACUGUUUCAAAUAUUAUAAGGGUUGUCAGGAGUGUCAAAAGUUUGGAAAUGUCCAGCGUGCACCCGCAUCGGCCAUGAAUCCCAUCAUUAAGCCAUGGCUGUUCAGUGGAUGGGGAAUAGACCUUAUCGGCCAAAUUUACCCACCGUCAAGCAAGGGGCACAAAUUUAUUCUGGUGGCUACUGAUUACUUUACCAAAUGGGUAGAAGCUAUCCCGUUAAGAGCCGUGACAUCGGCUAUCAUGGCCGACUUCGUAAGGGACCACAUCGUCUACCGAUUCGGUAUCCCUCAGACUAUAACAACCGAUCAAGGAACAAUGUUCACAUCGGGGGAAUUUGAGGAAUUUACGACCGAUAUGGGAAUCAAAUUGUUAAAUUCUUCUCCGUAUUACGCCCAAGCCAAUGGUCAGGCAGAAUCCUCCAAUAAAGGGAUAAUCAAAUUGAUCAAAAGAAAAAUCGAGGAACAACCGAAGAAGUGGCAUCUAUGUUUGACAGAGGCCUUAUGGGCGUACAGGAUGGCUUGUCAUGGGGCCACUAAGUUAUCUCCCUACCAGUUGGUGUACGGCCACGAUGCAGUACUGCCAUGGGAAUCGAGAGCGGGAUCAAGGCGUAUUUCGCUCCAGGACCAGUUAACGGCCGAUGAUUACUCGUCACUUAUGAAAAGGGAACUUGACGAUUUGGCUGGCCAACGAUUGAGGGCUCUGAUAAGCAUUGAAGAAAAUAAAAAGAGGGUAGCCAGGUGGUACGAUAAAAAGGUCAAAGCCAAACAAUUCUCCCCUAGGGACUUAGUAUGGAAGUUAGUAUUGCCGAUUGGGUCGAAGGAUCCUAAAUUCGGAAAAUGGUCCCCUACCUGGGAAGGGCCGUAUAAAAUCGGCAGAUGCGCUCCAGGAAAUGCCUACAUUUUGGAAACAAUAGAAGGAGAGGAAUUUACUAGAGCUCUGAACGGAAGGUACUUAAAAAGAUACUACCCCAGUAUAUGGGUCGGGGCGUAGGAAAUUAACCAUGACACGACCACACAUAGCCGAUACAAAUCGGUUCGAACACUUAGCCGAUACAAAUCGGUUCAAACGCAUAACCGAUGCAAAUCGGUUCAAACACAUAGUCGACCAGAUCGGCCGAUUGCAUUCAUUCGGUACGGGCGAUGGGUUACAUGGCCGACAAAACAUUAGUCGCCCUUAGAACAAAAAAUACAAAAAAACUAAUUAUUCUUCUUCUUGGGCGCCUUCCCGUUCCGCUCCAACUUGCUCAUGACGCGGAGGUAUUCUUCUUCUAUUGCCUUCAUUGAGGUCUCCGCUUCAACUUGACGAGGAAGAAAAUGACUCCGAUCCAUGGGAGGGCGCGAAGUCCCUGCCGCCGCGUCUUCGAGAACGACUUGCCGAGGAAGCGGAUGGCUCCUGUCGGUGGGAGAUCGCCGGCUGCCGUUCCUCUCCACGAAGUCCAAGAUCGUAUGGGCUGCCGUGGCGACGUCGUCUUCAAGGUCGUCACAAUGAUGGCUCCUGACGGUUGGAGAUCGACGACUACUUUCACUCACCACGAAAUCCAAGACCACACGAGCCUCCGCAGUGAUGUGGUCCCGGAGUUCCUCUCGGUGAGCCAUGAUCAACGCCUUGUCCUCCGACGUCAACGGGUCCUCGGAGUGAAUGCGCUCAAUGGCGCGCACGAGCUCGGGGCUAAGACGUUGAGGCUGAAACAAAGAAGGAAUAAGAAGGGAUAUUCUCUUCCUAGGAUCUAAAAAAGAAGGGAAGGUAGAGGUCAAGACUUCACCUGGUUAACAGAGGAAGAAGAAGCCGACGAAGCCAUGACAGAGAGUCGCACCGAUGAGAGGAAGAAGAGAGUAAACCGAAAGCCAAAUUCGUACUAUCGGGAGUAGGCGCUGAGGUCGGUAUUUAUGGAAAAAGAUGCGUGGAAAUUUGGUAAGGCCACGUCCCAUCGGUAAUAAGAAAGGCAAUAAAUAGAAAGGGCGUCAUGAGAGACGGUCAAAGAAGAUAGUAAAUGUUCGUACAAAACGGUCAGUGUUUUACAGAUUACCCAGAAGGGUAUCGAUAGCCGUGAUAGCCCGACGCCGGAUCUGAUCGGCAGAGUCAAGAACCCGUUGGUCUUCAUCUGCCGAUCCAGGGACUUCUGAUGUAUUGCGAUGGAGCUUUAGGGCCUCGUGAGCAAAGCGCUGCCUCUCCCGUGUCAAAUCGGCAAUGACAGAAGGUAGCUCUUGGAGCUUUUUCUCUUCGGCACUGAUUGCCUUAGUCACUUGCUCCAUCUCCUUGGCAAGCUCCGCCCUCCGACGCUUGAGGCGGUCUAUCUCACCGAUGAUCGCCGGGCGGGAAUCUUCUAGAACAUGGAUACGCCGAUGCGCUUCUUGAGCCUGACGCUUGAAAGCGUCUUCCUCUUCACGAGUCUUGGCAAGCUUGGCACGAUCGGCCAUAUGACGAAGAGCCCUGAAGACUGGGAUCCUCAUAGACUCGAUGAAGGCCGCCGGUGCCAGGGCUUCCUCCGCCUCUUCUGGUACUCGUCCGCUGACGUCAUUGAAGAGCUGCCGAAUCGGCGAAGCAUCUUCUACUAGUCGGCCGAUGUCCCCUUGAAGGAGGGAUCGGAUGCUGGAAAGUUUGGCUCGGACGUCAUCAGGGACGGAGCUCAAGGCAACUUGGCGAGAGGCAACUUCUUCGUCGUCGGAAAGGGCGACCGCAAAACAAAAGAGGCUGUUGUCGGGGGUGUCCUAUUCCUGGAGAUAAUAAAGAAAAGAAAUAAAUCGGCUGGAAGUAAAAGCAAAUCGGCUGGAUAGAAGCCAAAACAAAACUUACCAUCUUGAAGCGAAUUUCCUCAUGCUGCACUUGUGAAGCCGUCACGCCUUGCUCAUGAGCCUGCACCAUAGGUUCAUCGGAUGAAGAAGAUUCCACAAUAAUCGGCGCGGUGCUUGGACCAGCUCCAUGAGAAAAGACUGAUGGUUGAGGAGCGCUUGGUGUGCCGAUGGCCUGUGUCGGAGGAUCGAAUAAGAGCAUUAUACAAAUACCAAAGGAAAUUGGUAAAAUAGCACUAUACCUCAAUGGAUGGGAGCGGAGGUGCGCUGAUGGCUGGUUGAGUUGCUGCUGAUUGUUGUAUUUCCAUAGGGGUGCUCUGUGCAGUCUAAGGUUAAGAAGGGUUAAUAUCAGAAUAACAAUCGGAGGCAGUAAAACUCAGGUUUACCUGUAUGGCUUCCAACAACAACGACGCGGCGGCCACCCCAGCUUGCGUGAUGGCUUGAGUAUCGGCACCUUGAAUGACCUGAGAAGGUGGUGCGGCCGAAGUCUCUGCCGAUACGAGUACAGGAGGAUCCGCCGAUUCUAUACGAGCUCGGACUCGGCGACUGGUCUUCUUGGUGGUCCUCUUUUGGACUUGUUUCGAUCGGCCAGCGAUCACGUCUACGGCCGGAGCAUCAUAGCCGAUAAGGGGAUAAGUGGUAUAUGGAUGACUCUCUAUUAGCCGUCCACUGCGGCUGUGUGUUGGAGGGGUCCGAUUCUCGGCCUGAAGAAAUAAUAAAAUCAUUAGUACUCAGUCAUGUUAAGAGGAAUAAAAAUCGGCUAAGUAAAGUACCUCGACGUUCGGGUCGAUGUUGGCUGGGUCCAGAAGGUUGCAGUAUGCCGAUGCCGAGUUGCAGAAAAGAAAUUGCUUCCAAUCGGCCCACCAGAGUUUGAACGGCUGGACAUCAAAGGGAGUUACUAGCCAGUCGUUUAAGUUAAUUGUACUGGAAUCCGGAAUUUGGUCUCGUAACCGACUGUAAUCCAGACCAGAUGUGAGCUCAUCUCUAAACUUGAUUCGGCUAGCAAAGUACACUUGAAUCGGCAGCUGACCCAUGCCGAAUUGACGUGCUGCAGCGGAGGGGUUGUAGAAUUCGUACGUAGGGGCAUCCUUCCCUGAGAAGAAGUUGGCUGGCAAGAGUCCUGGCUUGAUUAACUCAUCAUAAAGUUCUUCAUCAAAUCAGCCGGUAGACGAGUCGAAGCAAGUCGGAAGCUCAAAGACCGGGUCAUCCCGCUGAUAAGGAAACCAAAUGGUUGCAUCUUCAUUAAAUCCAUUGUAGAAGCAUCGAAAGUACUCGGCUACCUUUGUAGCAGAAUACGCGCAAACUAGAAAAGCUGACGCCGCUUCGCCAAAGGACAUGCAUCGGCGACGUUCGGUAGGGUCCUCCGCCGAUUCGAUAUUGGGGAACAUCAUGCGGUCCACCGGCUGCUGGGUGAUCUUGCUCAUGUAAAGGUUCAGCCACAGAUUGACGAACCACCAGGGCCCGCCUUGAUUGCCGAUCGGCUCUCCCUUGGAUAGUCUUGUGCCGAUUUGAUGAAGCAUGUGGUACACGGCCCCUAGUAGAUGUUUCCCGAGGGGGACAUGGUUUCCUCUGGACAGUGCUUCAGCUAAGGCCUGGGUAUUGGUUGUUGGGCCGGCGGCUCUUCCGCAAAAGAAGUGUUUUUCUAGCCACAUCAUCAAGAAAGCUGUGUGCUCCCUGUUCUCAACAGUCCCGGUCCUCUUAUUACUUCUGAUGAAACCCUUCCAUCCGCCGAUUCCCCUUGUGUCCAGCCGAUGUGACGUUGUGGUUAAAAGGUGAUAGGGUGUGUCCGGGGAGGAUAUGUCGAGGCCGGUCAACAGGACCACAUCGGCCAGUGUUGGGGUCAUAGGACCGUGCCCAAAUAAGAAGGCAUUAAGUGCAUCAGAUCAAAAAUAAGAAGCCGCCAUCACUAACGGCUCAUUUUUCUCCAUCUGGGAUAAGGAAAGGUUGAUGCACUGGCCGAUUUUGAGCUCUUCCCAUGAGACGCUCUUUGAUGCGGCCACCCGUUGGUACCACUCCCUCCAACCUGGGAUUUCAUUCGGCCAGGAUCUAAAAGUGCCUAGCUAGUGAUCUAAGUUCAUAUCAUACAGUUUGAAGGGUAUCCGGUCGGUUUCCAAAUUUAUGAGAUCUAUUGGAUCUGGGUUUCCCAUGGGUCCGAGACAAAUAAGGCCGGGAUUUCCCGUGAGGUGAAUGGUGAUUCGAUGCCUAACUGCCUAAAAAGGAAAGGGGAGCGUAGAAAAGUAAGAAACAGAUCUAAGGUAAAUAUGUUGCCGAUAGAAAAAGGAUUCGGUAUUUACCUCUGGGAUGAAGUUCUGGGUGAUCGGCGUCGUCGCCGGUGCAGAUGCGGACGAUGGGGCCGCGAUGGGGAUCGCCAUUGGGAUCUCCGAUGAAGCUCCUUCUUCUGAGGAAGGAGCAACGGCUGUCGCCACCACCGCCGGAGGUACUACUUCUGGAACAUCGCGCUUGGGAGAGCUGCCGGAAGGAGCCGCCAUUGGGGAAGAAGAGGAAAAAGUAGCAGGAAGUGGAGCUAGGAAGCUUCGGCGGCAAGGGAAAGAUGUUGAAGGAGGAAGAAGGCGCGCGCGCUGGAAAAGAGACGUGAGCUUGAAGAUGAGGUGCGGGUGAAGCGCUAUUUAAAGGAUACCUGAAGGGGGGUAAAAAUGGAAUUUUCACCGCGCCGGCGCUUCGAGUUUUUCGGGAGUAGUGGCUGUCGUGGGCGCCCGUUUUGAAAAAUUGGAAUGAUCAGCUGGAAGACCGCGAAACGGAAGGAUAUUUUCACUACGGCCGUUUCGGAGGGGAAGUUAUAAAGAAUUUCGAAGUAAAAGACUAUGUUUUACUCCGAAACUGGGGGGCAUGUGCUGACGCCAGAUUUCGUCACUAAUAGAAUCGGCGCCAAGAAGAGGGGGAAUCGGAGAAGCACAGUUGGGAAUCGGCCAAACGGUGCUACAGUGUGAGAUCGGCCGGUGACUUCUGUCUUGCUUCGGGUCGAACAUACCAGAGUCUCAAUCGGUAAUCUUUUGCCAAUGAGGAAUCGGCCGAUUAGGAGGAUGGACUAAUUGGGCCUGUAUGGGCUUAGAAGGGAAUAGAAGGACGAGGUGGAAAUCAGCCCACGAAGCGUGAAGUAACCAACCUAGCACGAAUCGUGCUUGUAGAUAUUCGUUUUCUGUUUGAAUUAGGGAUAGAAUUCUAGUCGGUUAAAAAGAUAUCUGUACGGGGCUAUAAAUAGCUGCCUUUGUAAAUCUGUAAUCAUCAACCAAUCAAUACAACAAGCUAC